GAGAAAGGAGACACAGGGUUCGGCUAAUAUAGCAUGACUACUACUAUAUUAUACUAUACCAUUAAUUAAUGACAGAAUUUUCAUUUUUGGGUGAACUAUCCCUUUAACAGUAUUGUGAAGGAGGGCCUCUGCCUUAUGGCAAUUGCAUAUUUUGAGUUUUUGUAUUUGGAAUAAGGUCUCUGGGCUAUUUUUGAUUGGCCAAUGGACUAGUUGUGCUACCAGACCUGGCAACCCUGAGGAGACAGAGGAGAGAAAACCAAGAAGAAGAGGCAGAAAAAGAGCAGGCUUUUGAGGUUGGCCUCUUUUUUUUCCUCUUGUUUCUCAUCAAGAAAUUUCAGCUGAGAAAGCUGAACCGUGAGAAGAUCUCAAGGAUCGAGGGUUCCCCUGUAGGUCAUGGUGAAAAGCGUUAGCCUUGCAUCCGGCUUGAGGUGGUAGUUUUUGCAUUCUGGGAAACUUUUAGUAUUAGUUAAGUUAGUUAAACAUUGCAUCAUCCAGUCAUAUUUUUAUAAUGGAGUCACCCAGAGCUCCCUGUCAAGUUCAUGCUAAAAGAUCCCACCAGCAGCAGCUCCCAGAGACAGAGAUGAUCUUACUAUUGGGAGAUGAGAGGGUCUGUAUUACUUAGUAUUGGAGAAAGUGUAACGGUUAACUUGGAUCACGUCUGUCUUAAUAACCAAUCACAUUACAGCCUCGACGUCAUUGAGUUUCAGUCACAGUUGUGCGACACUCAAUCGCCGUUUACGGAUCCCAUAGGAAUGAAUGAGAAGUGGGGUGAUUCCUCCAUUAACA